GACGUAGGUGGCGAACGUUAUCCGGAAUCAUUGGGCGUAAAGGGCGCGUAGGUGGCCAACUAAGUCGGACGUGAAAUCCCUCGGCUUAACCGGGGAACUGCGUCUGAUACUGGAUGGCUUGAGUUCGGGAGAGGGAUGCGGAAUUCCAGGUGUAGCGGUGAAAUGCGUAGAUAUCUGGAGGAACACCGGUGGCGAAGGCGGCAUCCUGGACCGACACUGACGCUGAGGAGCGAAAGCCAGGGGAGCAAACGGG
rnacentral:rRNA from 1 species